CCCUCUCUCUCUCUCUCUCUCUCCCCCCCUCUCAAUGGUUCAGGGAUCAGGGAGAAAUAAUCAAUCGUUAGCGUUCUUAAACGCGAAUCGAGGAGAGAAGCGAAGAAACAAUGGCGGAGAUCGAUAAUGGCGUCAUCUACAAGACGAAGUUUAUCAAUUUCUUCAGUCGCUCCAUUCUUAUCGUCCUCGAGAACGAAACCUCAACUUCUCUUCUCGUCUCGAUCUGCAAUGUUCUUCUUCUGCGUGGUGAUGCAAGGCUUGAUCUUAAUUGGACUCAAGUACCGCAGCAGGAUUUGAUGUCCCUUACUGUAGAUAGCCUGCUCAAUUCUGAAAACCAAGAGAAGAUAGGAGAGGCGAUUUCUCUGCUCCCUAAUCUGCUUUCAGAUUGAUGUGUGCUUUGGGAGUUACUGUUCUAGUGGGCUUUAAGAUGUCUUCUGCAAAAUACAAAGUGGAGAAAUUCGAUGGGAGAAACAGCUUCAGUUAAUGGAGAGUGAAAAUAAGACUUGCCUAGUACAACAAGGACUGUUCAAGGUCUUGUCCGGAAAAGAUAAGUUACCAAAAUCUAUACCCGAUGAUGAGAAAGAAGAGCUAGAGAUGAAGGCGCAUAGUGCCAUACAACUAUGUUUGGCCGAUGAGGUCCUGCAGGAGGUUGCCAAUGAAGAUACCACCGCCGACUUGUGGCUCAAGUUGGAGAGCUUGUACAUGACGAAAUUUUUAACGAACAAGCUCUACUUGAAGCAACUCCUCUUCACCCUUCGCAUGAAUAAAGGAUUGAUGACUAUGAGUUUAUACCGGAACAAUCCAUGUUCAAUCCAUGUUUAAACUCCUUGGUAUCAGACUGUACCACGGAUGGAUAGUAGAUCCUCAGGAUAUUCAUGCUGCAGCUAUUAUUGGGUCAAAAGUUUUCCAGUGCUUUGAGCAGGGUUAUUGCUUCCAUCAAAUCAAGGAAAGCUAAGAGAGAAAGUACUCCUGUGGAAGAUUCUCAAGUUUUUCCUGUAACAAAUGAAACAACUGCAUCAUCAAAUCUUCCAGUAGGUGAAAGAAGAGGUGACAUAGAAGAAGCAGAGGCACUAGCAAGAAGCCAAGAACACUGUUGGUCUCAGAAAACGAAGAACAUACUUUAGCUGAUGAUAAUUCUGAUAAAAUUACAUGCUCCAGAAGUUCCAGUAUGGGAGAUGAAUCUGAAAAACUUCAGCAGCCAAUAUCUGUUUGAACACCUAAAUGCAAAUCCAUUAGUAGUAGAAAUGAUAGUGAUCCAUCAGACAUAAGGAGCUCAAACCUAAAGAUAGAAGCUCCAUUUCCCCAGGAGAAGGCUGCAAAAUUUAUCCUGGAUACCAAACAUGUGAAGAUCGGGAGUCAGACUAUGAAGAGGAGGAUUUUCUUCCUGAACUUGGAGAAGAGCAAGAAUGCACUCCUUGUCCUUCCAUAACUUCAAUGGAGAACCUUUCAUAUUUUCUUCAAGUUUCUACCUGUUUUUCUCAAUCUUAGAUUUCUAUUCUGGUCAUCUGAUGCAUAACUUCCUGGACAGUUUCCCUUGCCAACUGACAGAUCAUGGUCUAUAUCACCUUAUAGAAGGUCUGAAAGAGCAAGAGCUUUGCAUUUUCUUCCGCAAUGAUCAUUUUAGUAUGUUGUUUAAGAACAAUGGGAAGCUCUAUUUGCUCGAAGCUUCUGAGUCACAUAAACCAUGAGAAUUUGGUCUGGAAGGAGUUAACUGUGGUACAGAAGAUGACAGGAUGGGUAGGAGGCUUUGUAGGGCAUCCUUCAACCUCGGCUUCUAGGAACUAGCCAAGAAGAACGCCCCUGAUGAUGCUGGGGACAAUUUCUCAAGCAAUUAAGCCCUUGCGACUCUCUUCUCUGCAGGAAGUAGAAUCAUUACGUGAAGAUGUUUCUUUUUGGUUAAGAUGCUAGCUGCGUUUAGCAUAGUAACAGUUUUUAGUCGUAGUCUUUAACCUGAUACAAUCCUCUCUAUGUAUUGUUGUAUUACCUUUUGGUUUUUAUUUUUCUCUAGCUGCAGGAAUGUAGUAGGUCUAGUGUGGUAGGUGACGACAAUGGUCCGCUCCUUACUCACUUCUCCCACUGUGUUUUCUCCACCUAGAGCUGAUGUAUAUUCCUCUUCUAACUUUUUCUAUAUAUUUAAAUGAACAGGGCACCUCACCCUGUUUCUCAGGCUCAAAAAAAAAAUUGUUUACAAAAUGACACAGUUUUGGUCUAUUAAUGCAAAUGCAAAUUUGUGUGCACAAGGUACAAGGGCAAUGUCCAUAAUGGUGAAAAUAUGAAGCUGUCUGUAGCUUUUAUACGGUUCAUGCCUAUUUGCUAACAAAUUGUGGAACGCAGUGAUAAGAUGAUUUUAUUUGGGAUUAAUUGCAGAUAGCCAGAUGCACCUUCAGGGUUUAGCCACUUAUUAUCCGUAAAAUUUCCAUUCAGCUAUUAGACCCUGGAUGUCUAAACGGAGUUAUCUCUCCGCUUUGGUAUUUUAUACUAUAAAGGGUGUAUGCUCAUCAUAGAAUAGGCGGGCUUUCUGCAAUACACUGAAAUAUUCAGAGGAUCUCCUUGCAAUAAAUUGACAUCACAUGACAGUUAAAAUGAUCUUUGUGCACUGUCCUGUCAAUUGGGUGAGAUGGACUCAGUUGACCAAUUGUUCAACUCCUCAGCUAUCAAAUUUCAGUAGCAAUCAGAAUCUGAGGGCUCCAGCUGCUAUUCCUGAAACUCCUAUUUCACCGGAAAUUCUUGAAUUCGUUCCCAGCCUCUGUUCUGGUAGCUUCAGUGACAUCGGGAUGAGGAGGGAUAUGGAAUAUGAGCAUAUCUGUAUUGAUGAUCUUUUUCUAUUCAUCAAGUCUCAGUGUAGGUGUUGCAUACCUUCUUCUUUUAUGGGGUAUUUGAUGGCCAUAGUUGUUCUGAUGCAGCAUCAUACAUCAGGAGGCAUGCCCUCAGGUUUUUCUUUGAAGAAUCCACACUCCCUCAAGCAUCCAAAUAUGACCCUAUAUUCCUACUUGAGAUCAAAAACUCUAUUCGGAGAUCAUUUCUGCAAGUAGACCUUGCUCUGGCUGAUGAAUGCACAGUGAGCAGCUCCUGUGGGAGUACGACACUUAUUGCAUUGGUGCUCGGAAGGGUUCUCUUGGUAGCCAAUGUUGGUGACUGCAGAGCGGUCAUCUGCCGCGGAGGUAAAGUCAUCAACAUGUCUCAUGACCACCGUGGCUCAGUCCAUGCUGCAGAGCGUCUGAGGGUCGAAAAACCUGGCGGCUACAUUGAUGAUUGGUACCUAAAUGGAGUCCAAUCUGUAACUUGAGCUCUAGGCAAUUGGGACAUGAAGAUCCCAACCUCAGCUACCGGUUUGCCCUCUCCACUCAUCGCGGAGCCUGAGUUCAGGCAAGCUCUCAUCACACAGGAUGACAAAUUCUUGAUCAUUGGAUGCGAUGGUAUUUGUGACGUUAUGUCGGGCCAGCACGUGGUAAAUGUGGUCCGGCGGGGUCUGCGACCCCGAAAGGUGUGCGAGGGAGCUUGUCAUGGAGGCAUUGAGGUUGAAAACCGUCAAUAGUGUUACUGUGAUUGUGGUGUGCUUCUUGGCAGAGCAGAGGGAGGAGGAGGCCGAGGUUGAGGUGUUGUAGUUUGUCUGGAAUUGGUUGGAUAAUGAUGUUGGUAACUAGUGAGGAGUAAUGUAUAUUUGCUUUUUGUAAUGGGUGCCUUCAGUCUUCUGUAUGAGCUGGAGAUCAGUCAACAGUUUUGUAGGGUUGCCUUUUCUGUUUGGGGCUUUACUCGUACUGUAUGUAUUAUUUGUCGAGGAUGAUUGAUGAGCGCGUGUUAUUAUGCAACGAGAUCUUGGUUCCUUUUCACUUUCUACCCCUCGCUGGAAGCUUAUUAUAUAUCAUCAGAUUUCCCACAAACGAAUGUCAUCUGAAGCUGCUGAUCUCAUCUCCAGGCUUCUUCAGUACUUAUCUCAAUCUUCGCUGCAUUGUAUUGAGUAAAUAUUUUCA